GAUGAACGCUGGCGGCGUGCCUAAUACAUGCAAGUCGAGCGAACGGACGAGAAGCUUGCUUCUCUGAUGUUAGCGGCGGACGGGUGAGUAACACGUGGAUAACCUACCUAUAAGACUGGGAUAACUUCGGGAAACCGGAGCUAAUACCGGAUAAUAUUUUGAACCGCAUGGUUCAAAAGUGAAAGACGGUCUUGCUGUCACUUAUAGAUGGAUCCGCGCUGCAUUAGCUAGUUGGUAAGGUAACGGCUUACCAAGGCAACGAUGCAUAGCCGACCUGAGAGGGUGAUCGGCCACACUGGAACUGAGACACGGUCCAGACUCCUACGGGAGGCAGCAGUAGGGAAUCUUCCGCAAUGGGCGAAAGCCUGACGGAGCAACGCCGCGUGAGUGAUGAAGGUCUUCGGAUCGUAAAACUCUGUUAUUAGGGAAGAACAUAUGUGUAAGUAACUGUGCACAUCUUGACGGUACCUAAUCAGAAAGCCACGGCUAACUACGUGCCAGCAGCCGCGGUAAUACGUAGGUGGCAAGCGUUAUCCGGAAUUAUUGGGCGUAAAGCGCGCGUAGGCGGUUUUUUAAGUCUGAUGUGAAAGCCCACGGCUCAACCGUGGAGGGUCAUUGGAAACUGGAAAACUUGAGUGCAGAAGAGGAAAGUGGAAUUCCAUGUGUAGCGGUGAAAUGCGCAGAGAUAUGGAGGAACACCAGUGGCGAAGGCGACUUUCUGGUCUGUAACUGACGCUGAUGUGCGAAAGCGUGGGGAUCAAACAGGAUUAGAUACCCUGGUAGUCCACGCCGUAAACGAUGAGUGCUAAGUGUUAGGGGGUUUCCGCCCCUUAGUGCUGCAGCUAACGCAUUAAGCACUCCGCCUGGGGAGUACGACCGCAAGGUUGAAACUCAAAGGAAUUGACGGGGACCCGCACAAGCGGUGGAGCAUGUGGUUUAAUUCGAAGCAACGCGAAGAACCUUACCAAAUCUUGACAUCCUUUGACAACUCUAGAGAUAGAGCCUUCCCCUUCGGGGGACAAAGUGACAGGUGGUGCAUGGUUGUCGUCAGCUCGUGUCGUGAGAUGUUGGGUUAAGUCCCGCAACGAGCGCAACCCUUAAGCUUAGUUGCCAUCAUUAAGUUGGGCACUCUAAGUUGACUGCCGGUGACAAACCGGAGGAAGGUGGGGAUGACGUCAAAUCAUCAUGCCCCUUAUGAUUUGGGCUACACACGUGCUACAAUGAACAAUACAAAGGGCAGCGAAACCGCGAGGUCAAGCAAAUCCCAUAAAGUUGUUCUCAGUUCGGAUUGUAGUCUGCAACUCGACUACAUGAAGCUGGAAUCGCUAGUAAUCGUAGAUCAGCAUGCUAUGGUGAAUACGUUCCCGGGUCU
rnacentral:rRNA from 1 species